CCCUCAUCCUCGAGCCCCACUACUCAGAGGAGCUGGGAAGAAUUUCCACCCUUCCUAGUGGCAAGUCUCACUGUGAGAGCGGAGUGCCACCAGGCAAACAGGGCAGAAAGACUGCUUUAAGGAGAAUCCUUAUAUUGGGGGUUAUGAAGUGCAAUACACCCUCAUCCUCACGCUAACACUGGUACCAUGUAGCCCAAGCUUGUCUAACCUGCAGCCCGCGGGCUGUGUAUGGCCCAGGACAGCUCUGAAUGUGGCCCAACGCAAAUUUGUAAACUUUCUAAAACAUUAUGAGAUUUUUUUUUCUCAUCAGCUAUCAUCAGUGUGAGUGUAUGUUAUUUGUGACUCAAGACAAUCCUUCUUUUCCAAUGUGGCCCAGAGAAGCCAAAAGACUGGACACCCCUGAUGUGGCCCUUUCAUCCAUAGUAGCCUAUUUUGUCCUAAAGACGGUCUUGUGCAGUGAGUAGGCCAGGCCUCCCCACUACCACAGUUUACAGGCAAGGAAUGUGAUAUUUCAUAGGAUGACCCUGACUGGCACCUACAUUGCUAGCCAAAGAAUGGCACAAAGAUGUGGACAGAAGAGACAACCUUAAGCAGCUGACUGCUGGCUCCUGCAACAGUAUCAUCAUGGCAUUUGUCCUGGGGUCCCAAGGAAAGAAAACAAAUCUGUGGCUGAGGAACAGACUGAGUUGACAAAGCAGCUUCCACAGUAACACAAGGACAAAGGGUGUAUGUAGAUAUGCACGUGGUAGCAGGUUCUACUAAAGGAACCUGGACCGACCAUUCUUCAGACAAGAACCAAAGGCAACUGACGUGACUGCUCUCUC
rnacentral:lncRNA from 10 species